GAUGAACGCUAGCGGCAGGCCUAAUACAUGCAAGUCGAACGGGAUCCAGAUCAAAGCUUGCUUUGGUCUGGUGAGAGUGGCGCACGGGUGCGUAACGCGUGAGCAACCUACCCUUGUCAGGGGGAUAGCCCGGCGAAAGUCGGAUUAAUACCGCAUGACAUCAUUGAGAGGCAUCUUUCGAUGAUCAAAGAUUUAUCGGACAAGGAUGGGCUCGCGUGACAUUAGCUAGUUGGUAAGGUAACGGCUUACCAAGGCUGCGAUGUCUAGGGGCUCUGAGAGGAAAACCCCACACUUGGGUACUGAGACAGGGACCAGACUCAUACGGGAGGCAGCAGUAAGGAAUAUUGGUCAAGGGACGAAAGUCUGAACCACCCAUCCCGCGUGCAGGAGGACGGCCUUAUGGGUUGUAAACGUCUUUUAUACGGAAAAAAACGUCGGUCGGUGUACGGGUCGGGGUGUACGGUAAGAAAAAGGAUGGGCAAACCCGGGC
rnacentral:rRNA from 1 species